AUUGAACGCUGGCGGCAGGCCUAACACAUGCAAGUCGAGCGGCAGCGCGGGGCAACCUGGCGGCGAGCGGCGGACGGGUGAGUAACGCGUAGGAAUCUACCUGGUAGUGGGGGAUAGCCCGGGGAAACUCGGAUUAAUACCGCAUACGUCCCAAGGGAGAAAGUGGGGGAUCUUCGGACCUCACGCUAUCAGAAGAGCCUGCGUAGGAUUAGCUAGUUGGUAGGGUAAAGGCCUACCAAGGCGACGAUCCUUAACUGGUCUGAGAGGAUGAUCAGUCACACCGGAACUGAGACACGGCCCAGACUCCUACGGGAGGCAGCAGUGGGGAAUAUUGGACAAUGGGCGGAAGCCUGAUCCAGCCAUGCCGCGUGUGUGAAGAAGGCCUUUUGGUUGUAAAGCACUUUAAUCGAGGAGGAGGCUCUUAAGGUUAAUACCCUUGAUGAGUGGACGUUACUCGCAGAAUAAGCACCGGCUAACUCUGUGCCAGCCGCCGCAGUAAUAC
rnacentral:rRNA from 1 species